GACGAACGCUGGCGGCGUGCUUAACACAUGCAAGUCGAACGGUAAGGCCCCUUCGGGGGUACACGAGUGGCGAACGGGUGAGUAACACGUGGGUGAUCUGCCCUGCACUUCGGGAUAAGCCUGGGAAACUGGGUCUAAUACCGGAUAGGACCACGCUCUGCAUGGAGUGUGGUGGAAAGCUUUUGCGGUGUGGGAUGGGCCCGCGGCCUAUCAGCUUGUUGGUGGGGUGAUGGCCUACCAAGGCGACGACGGGUAGCCGGCCUGGGAGGGUGUCCGGCCACACUGGGACUGGGAUACGGCCCAGACUCCUACGGGGGGCAGCGGUGGGGAAUUUUGCACAAUGGGCGCAAGCCUGGUGCAGGGCCGCCGCGGGGGGGAUGACGGCCUUGGGGUUGUAAACCUCUUUCAGUACCGACGAAGCGCAAGUGACGGUAGGAACAAAAAAAGCACCGGCCAACUACGU
rnacentral:rRNA from 1 species